UCUAGGGCAAGAGGAUCAAAGAUACUCCAGGGUAACUGGGCUCAAGGGGGCCGACUGAUGCUAACUCACAAGAGUUAAGAAUUGCCCUGGAACAAUUUACAGAGCAGCGGUUCCUUUUCCGUGGAUGGAGACUUCUCUCUGCUCCUUGGAGCUCCUUCUUGUUCCAGGAUGAUAUGGAAAGUGAUUCAUCAGGCCCAAGAACCUGCUAUGAGGGAUAAAGAAGCUCGUGACAACUCAACCCUUCCCAGGGAUGUUUGUGUUCAUCUAGGGACCAGAGUUUUAAUUUUGGAAUCUGAAGAGGAGAGUCCUUUCCAGGAUUAAACUGUCCUGACAUCUGUAUUCUUUCAUCGGAAUGCCUCCCAGGUUAGCACCAUGGAGAGAAAACUCACUUUCAGGCAAAACCCUGGAUGAGAUUCUGGAGGGCAAAAUUCCACAAGCAGAAUACAGAACUGACCCUUAAGAAAAACCUUCCAAGUUCCUCCUCAUUGUCACUGUCUUUAAAUCACAAAAUGGGGCUCCUUUUGAUUACCCAGAGCAGCACAGCACCAGAGGGAAAACCUGAGUCUCCAUGGCGACUAUUCCUGCAGUGUAUAAUAAAAUUAAUGGAUGUACUCAUUACAGUAAUUCUGGCUGUCCUUUGAGCAAAUUUCACUCUUCAGGAGGAUCCCUGGCUCUUACUUGUGACACCUGAGAAUUACCCUUUAAAAUUGUAGACAGAUUCAGAUCUCCUUGUAACCUCAGCCCAUGGGGUGAAUGGCCUUGCCAUUUGGAGGACGGAUCAAAACGACAUUAGUGACCAGGAGCUCA
rnacentral:lncRNA from 1 species